rnacentral:rRNA from 1 species
UCAGGAUGAACGCUGGCGGCGUGCCUAACACAUGCAAGUCGAGCGGUAUAUGUUAAACAAAUCUUCGGAAGAGUGAGAGCAUAGAGAGCGGCGGACGGGUGAGUAACGCGUAGGCAACCUGCCCCAUACAGAGGGAUAGCCUCGGGAAACCGGGAUUAAAACCUCAUAACGCGAAAGAGUCACAUGGCUCUUUCGCCAAAGAUUUAUCGGUAUGGGAUGGGCCUGCGUCUGAUUAGCUAGUUGGUGGGGUAACGGCUCACCAAGGCAACGAUCAGUAGCCGACCUGAGAGGGUAAUCGGCCACAUUGGAACUGAGACACGGUCCAAACUCCUACGGGAGGCAGCAGUGGGGAAUAUUGCACAAUGGGCGAAAGCCUGAUGCAGCAACGCCGCGUGAGCGAUGAAGGCCUUUGGGUCGUAAAGCUCUGUCCUAGGGGAAGAAUAAAUGACGGUACCCUUGGAGGAAGCCCCGGCUAACUACGUGCCAGCAGCCGC